rnacentral:lncRNA from 1 species
GGUUAUCCAGAGUAUCGUAUUUAUAUUUUUACCAUUGGGAGAAAGCGUGCAUCUGACUAACCAAAUCUAUUGCUACUACCCUUUAGGCUACAAAGAAUGUUUCUCGAUGUGAGCGAUGUAUAGAGAAGACUGUAACCGUAGUCUCGUUCUAACCUUGGUAAGGAUGAUCUACUAUUCUAUUGGGGAGGCUCACGGAAUCUAGACACCACAGAGGAUGUUCGACCCGCACCUAUAAACCCUACCCGUCCUGCUAACA